GUGGGGAAUAUUGGACAAUGGGCGAAAGCCUGAUCCAGCUAUGCCGCGUGAGUGAUGAAGGCCUUAGGGUUGUAAAGCUCUUUCAGUAGGGAAGAUAAUGACGGUACCUACAGAAGAAGCCCCGGCUAACUUCGUGCCAGCAGCCGCGGUAAUACGAAGGGGGCUAGCGUUGUUCGGAUUUACUGGGCGUAAAGCGCACGUAGGCGGAUUGGUCAGUUAGAGGUGAAAUCCUGGAGCUCAACUCCAGAACUGCCUUUAAUACUGCCAGUCUAGAGUCCAGAAGAGGUGAGUGGAACUCCUAGUGUAGAGGUGGAAUUCGUAGAUAUUAGGAAGAACACCAGUGGCGAAGGCGGCUCACUGGUCUGGUACUGACGCUGAGGUGCGAAAGCGUGGGGAGCAAACAGGAUUAGAUACCCCAGUAGUCC
rnacentral:rRNA from 1 species